CAAUGCCCCUUGGGAAUCAUUAUUUCACCUGACCGUUUGAUCUCUUUUUUUUUGUUUUUUUUCAACAGCUUGAGUGGGUUCAUACGUGGCUGUUGGAUGAGAUGUGAACCGUGAAAUGCAGUUCAAUCCACCUAAGAAACCACAAACCUCUUUUUCUGUUUUCGGUUCAGGCAUUUCUUAUAUUAUUUUUUUCUCUUUUUUUCCUUUUAUAGCAGGAUCAACCUCGAUUCCUCAUUUAUUCACAAUAAGCCUCAGCAACUUACCGGACCGCACUCCGAAAGUGCACUUAUUUGAAUUCAACCUCCGCUUGAAUUGUUU
rnacentral:lncRNA from 1 species